rnacentral:sRNA from 1 species
ACCUAGCCCCGAUUGCCGCGGCAUCCUUUUUUUGCAAUGGGAGAAGAAAUGCCAAAAAAGAUACAGCAGAAAGCGGGAUUAAGC